UACGGGGGGGGCAAGCGUUGUUCGGAAUUACUGGGCGUAAAGGGCGCGUAGGCGGCCCAGCUAAGUCGAGUGUUAAAUCCCAGAGCUUAACUCUGGACAGUCGCUCGAUACUAGCGGGCUAGAGUGUGGAAGAGGGUGCUGGAAUUCCCGGUGUAGCGGUGAAAUGCGUAGAUAUCAGGAGGAACACCAAUGGCGAAGGCAGCUCGCUGGGACGGUACUGACGCUGGAGACGCGAAAGCCGUGGGGAGCAAACAGG
rnacentral:rRNA from 1 species